CUCCAGACACACACACACAAACACAAUAAACACGAUGAUAAGAAAGCAGCCGCAUGCUCAAAACGAAAGCCAUAAACAUAGAAGCCUCUCUCUCUCUCUCUCUCUCUCUCUCUCUCUCUCACGAACAUCAAGUCAUCAAGACUUUCCUUAUUUGGUUGUUCAGGGGGUGAAAGGUCGCCGUUUCAGCACUGUGGAGUUGCUCAGGAAACGUCAGGUCUCUCUCUGGCAACGUGUCACCGACAACUGUACGUCUUCUUCUGCAUGAUGCAGAAAGAGAAAAAGAGGUGGAGAAGGAGAUAAGAUCAUAAGUAAGAGCAGUAGCAGUGAAUGAAGAGAGAGGGGGAGAGAGAGAGAGACAGACAGAGAGAGGGAAGAAAAGGGUACACAGCUUUUUGGUAUUGGGUUUUGUGGAGGUUGCUUCUCUUUUUUAUUUAUUUUCUUUCUUGGCCUGCAGAGCAAACCCUAAAUCCUCAUUGGCGUCUUACCCAUUGAUUUCUUUUACACCAAAACAGCAGGAACCGUAGAUUUUUGCGGUUUUUGGUAGGUUUCCUUAUAUGGGUUUCUUUCUGUGUUCUCAGAUCUGACUCAUAUAAUAUCGAUCAUUCUCUUUCUCUCGGGUUACCUUUUUCUAGUUUUGCUUUCUUCCCAGUUUCCACUCCCUUCAUUUCUUUGUUAUUAAUCAAACUUUGCGAUUUGUGACUUUAAUUUCUUGUGCCGUUGGUUGUGAAUUUGGUUGGGACAGAGAUGGAAAUUGACAGAAGAGAGUGAGCACACAGAGGCACUUGGCAUAAAGCGUAUGCUAUUGCUUUUGCGUGCUCAUGUCUCUUUCUGUCAGCUUCCCAGUUCCACUGCCGGAUUAAUUUAAUUUCUUAUUUACUUCUCAUCCAUCUAUGGCCUGUGUUUCUUCCACUACUUGUAAUCGCUCUCUCUCUCUCUCUCUCUCUCCAAAUCUUGAAUCUUAAAGCCUUUGUGGGGCUUCAAAGGAACGCUUAAUUUGCUACUUUGAAAUCGUUGAUUUUGCAGGAAGGCUUAAGGAUUCAUUUUCGAACCGUCAACACAUUAUCAAGUCUUCUCUCAGAAGAUAACUUGUCAAACAGUGAAGUUGGUUUCAUAUGCAGACAGACGAUUAAUUUCGAGAUGAAAGAGGCUUUUGGCAAACCAACCGAGAAAGACUGGAUAUUAUCGCCGUGCUGUCUAUGAAUGAUCAUCAAUAAUAAUCACCUUGUGCUGUUGGACGUUAACCUUGGAGCUAGCUCUUGUCUCUAGCAGCGGAUGAAGUCAAAACAACAUCUUUAUAAACAGUUCGUCUAUAAAUCAUUAGCUGUAAUGUAAAACACAAUUUGUUUUUAUAUCUAUUUUGAUUUUGAUUUUUUUUUUUUUUUUUUUACACAAAAAAGGUGGCAGGGAGUGUCACCUCUCCGAGCCAGGCACGGGUUAAGGGAAAUCUCUCCCCAAGGGGUUAUUUACACAUGUGGAUGAUCGAACUCGGGACCUCAUUGAGGAUCCCGAUCACAUUCGCCCAACAUGUGUGGCCUAGCCCGUUCAAUUUUCACCAGACCAAACCCACUUGGGUCUAUAUCUAUUUUGAUUUUGAUUUGUAAAGAAAUUCGCUUUUGGAGGUGUUUUUUCUUUCUGUUUAGAAGCAAGAAAACAGUAAUAAGCAGAAAGUUGGCCUUCAUUGAAUAUGUAAUGAUUUCUUCUUCGCUUUUUAU